rnacentral:rRNA from 1 species
AAGCGCUCAUGACCAGACUUGGGCUUGGUUGAUCAUCCAGGGUUCUCCCUGGUGCACUCUUCCAGCCCAGGCCAGCAUCAGUUCGCUGUGGGGGAUAAAGGCUUUGGGAAUGUAUCUACCCACGGGUAGACUUAUAGACCGGGGUGUCAUGCGACCUCUCGGGACCGAGGAACGCGCUUCGGCUCGGAUGUUGGCGUAAUGGUUGUCAGCGA